rnacentral:rRNA from 1 species
UACAGAGGUCUCAAGCGUUGUUCGGAUUCAUUGGGCGUAAAGGGUGCGUAGGUGGCGGGGUUAGUCAGGUGUGAAAUCUUGGAGCUUAACUCCGAAACUGCAUUCGAUACUGCCGUGCUUGAGGACUGGAGAGGAGACUGGAAUUUACGGUGUAGCGGUGAAAUGCGUAGAUAUCGUAAGGAAGACCAGUGGCGAAGGCGGGUCUCUGGACAGUUCCUGACGCUGAGGCACGAAGGCCAGGGGAGCAAACGGG